rnacentral:rRNA from 1 species
CGGGGCCGCUUGACGCUGGCGGCAGGCCUACACAUGCAAGUUCGAACGGUAGCACAGAGAGCUUGCUCUCGGGUGACGAGUGGCGGACGGGUGAGUAAUGUCUGGGAAACUGCCUGAUGGAGGGGGAUAACUACUGGAAACGGUAGCUAAUACCGCAUAACGUCGCAAGACCAAAGAGGGGGACCUUCGGGCCUCUUGCCAUCGGAUGUGCCCAGAUGGGAUUAGCUAGUAGGUGGGGUAAUGGCUCACCUAGGCGACGAUCCCUAGCUGGUCUGAGAGGAUGACCAGCCACACUGGAACUGAGACACGGUCCAGACUCCUACGGGAGGCAGCAGUGGGGAAUAUUGCACAAUGGGCGCAAGCCUGAUGCAGCCAUGCCGCGUGUAUGAAGAAGGCCUUCGGGUUGUAAAGUACUUUCAGCGAGGAGGAAGGCAUUGUGGUUAAUAACCACAGUGAUUGACGUUACUCGCAGAAGAAGCACCGGCUAACUCCGUGCCAGCCCGCCGCGGUA